rnacentral:lncRNA from 1 species
UAAUUGAUUUUGACCUCAAUUUAAUUAAUUUUGUCGAUUAGUUCUUAAUUUUUGAAUCUUGGAACCAAACUGACUCAUUUUAUAUUAUUUUUUAAUUAUUUAAAAUAUAUUAAUUUUUAUAAUAUAUGACAAAUAUAUUACCAUAUAAACCCAACCUAAUAACGCAAUCACCUAUGAACACAAAAAUCUAAUUAAACAACCCAAUUAAAAAAUAAAAAAAUAAACAACAAACUUUUAGAAAAACCCAAAUAAUCAAUCUAGCUCAUCCUAUUUCCCCCAAAAAAUCCCCGAUCUCGACAUUUCUAACCAAAAAUUCCCCUAAAACGAUUGAAAAACCGUAAAACUUAAAAUUGAGCUA